AUUGGGCGUAAAGGGCUCGCAGGCGGUUUCUUAAGUCUGAUGUGAAAGCCCCCGGCUCAACCGGGGAGGGUCAUUGGAAACUGGGAAACUUGAGUGCAGAAGAGGAGAGUGGAAUUCCACGUGUAGCGGUGAAAUGCGUAGAGAUGUGGAGGAACACCAGUGGCGAAGGCGACUCUCUGGUCUGUAACUGACGCUGAGGAGCGAAAGCGUGGGGAGCGAACAGGAUUAGAUACCCUGGUAGUCCACGCCGUAAACGAUGAGUGCUAAGUGUUAGGGGGUUUCCGCCCCUUAGUGCUGCAGCUAACGCAUUAAGCACUCCGCCUGGGGAGUACGGUCGCAAGACUGAAACUCAAAGGAAUUGACGGGGGCCCGCACAAGCGGUGGAGCAUGUGGUUUAAUUCGAAGCAACGCGAAGAACCUUACCAGGUCUUGACAUCCUCUGACGACCCUAGAGAUAGGGCUUUCCCUUCGGGGACAGAGUGACAGGUGGUGCAUGGUUGUCGUCAGCUCGUGUCGUGAGAUGUUGGGUUAAGUCCCGCAACGAGCGCAACCCUUGAUCUUAGUUGCCAGCAUUCAGUUGGGCACUCUAAGGUGACUGCCGGUGACAAACCGGAGGAAGGUGGGGAUGACGUCAAAUCAUCAUGCCCCUUAUGACCUGGGCUACACACGUGCUACAAUGGACAGAACAAAGGGCUGCGAGACCGCAAGGGUUAGCCAAUCCCACAAAUCUGUUCUCAGUUCGGAUCGCAGUCU
rnacentral:rRNA from 1 species